rnacentral:rRNA from 1 species
CCUACGGGAGGCUGCAGUGGGGAAUAUUGGACAAUGGGGGCAACCCUGAUCCAGCCAUGCCGCGUGUGUGAAGAAGGCCCUCGGGUUGUAAAGCACUUUCAGUGAGGAAGAACGCCUGUUGGUUAAUACCCAUCAGGAAAGACAUCACUCACAGAAGAAGCACCGGCUAACUCCGUGCCAGCAGCCGCGGUAAUACGGAGGGUGCGAGCGUUAAUCGGAAUUACUGGGCGUAAAGCGCGCGUAGGUGGCUUGAUAAGCCGGUUGUGAAAGCCCCGGGCUCAACCUGGGAACGGCAUCCGGAACUGGCAAGCUGGAGUGCAGGAGAGGAAGGUAGAAUUCGCGGUGUAGCGGUGAAAUGCGUAGAGAUCGGGAGGAAUAGCGGUGGCGAAGGCGGCGUUCUGGACUGACACUGACGGUGAGGUGCGAAAGCGUGGGUAGCAAACAGGAUUAGAUACCCGUGUAGUG